UAGUAAAAUGGUUUCGGAUGAUAACUCAAGAACGCUUAGGCCUAGAAUCAUAAAACUUGAUAGGUAGAUUGAUCAUGACUCGCAGAUGACCCCUAUUGAUUUUCAGGUCACUAGGUCAAAGGUCACAGUGACCGGAUAUAGUAAAAUGGUUUCCGGAUGAUAACUCAAGAACACUUAGGCCUAGGAUCAUGAAACUUGAUAGGUAGAUUGAUCAUGACUCGCAGAUGACCCCUAUUGAUUUUCAGGUCACUAGGUCAAAGGUCAAGGUCACAGUGACUUGACACAGUAAAAUUGUUUCCGGAUGAUAACUCAAGAAAGCUUACGCCUAGGAUCAUGAAACUUCAUAGGUACAUUGAUCAUAACUGGCAGAUGACCCCCAUUGAUUUUCAGGUCAAUAGGUCAAAGGUCAAGGUCACAGUGACAAAAAACAUAUUCACACAAUGGC